UAAGGUUCGAUUUAGGAUUUGGUUUAGGAUUAAGAUUAAGAUUUUGGAUUGAUUUAGAAUUUAUUAAGGAUUUGAUUAGGAUUUGAUUAGGAUUUGAUUAGGAUUUGGUUAGGGCUUAUUUAGGAUUUGAUUAGGUUUUAAGUUUUGGUUAGAAUUAAAAUUUGAUUAGAAUUAAGAUUUGGUUAGGAUUAGGAUUUGAUUAGGAUUAGGAUUUGAUUUGGAUUUCUUUAGGAUUU
rnacentral:lncRNA from 1 species